CAGUGAUAUCAUGUUGAAACAAUGAUUCCCAUGUGAUCACCCAAGUUAAGCUAUGUUGAGCCUAGUCAGUACCUAGAUGGGUAACUGCUUGGAAAUACCAGGUACUGUAAG